GUAUUCCUCUCGGUGCUGUUGUCACGACUCCUGAGAUUGCUGAAGUAUUGACGCGCCGCAGUUACUUCAACACAUUUGGGGGAAAUCCUGUGUGCACUGCUGCAGGGCUGGCCGUUCUGAAAGUGAUCGAGAAAGAAAAACUUCAGGAAAAUGCAUUUGUUGUGGGGACCUAUCUGAAAAAGAGACUAACCGAACUCAAAGAUAAAUAUGAAAGUAAAUCAUCUUUCUUACCACUAACUUUAUUUAUUGGACACUUGUUUAUGCUUAACAAAAUUUCAGCUUUAGCUUGCCUCUGAUCAUAGAUCUAAAAUAUUUUAAUCCGUGUAAGAAGCAAUGUGAAACAGAUGGUAAUAUUUGAAAUUCUUAUCCUGCAAUUAUAUACAACUCGAAUAUUAAGCACUAUUUUCGAUUUAGUUUUUCUCUUAUGGCCCUUUUUUUUCCUAUUUGGUUUUCUAAGCAUGCUAGAUUGUAUUAUAACUGGUUUCUGCAGUUAUUGGAGAUGUGAGGGGAAAAGGAUUGAUGCUUGGAGUUGAACUUGUAACUGACCACCAACACAAAACUCCUGCAAAGAAUGAAACUUUGCAUAUAAUGGACCAGAUGAAAGGUCUUUAUUUCUCCUACCCAUCUUCUAGAUAUAUUUAAUAUUUAUUUCUAGUUUCUAACAGAUCCUUUUUCUUUUUUGUUUUGCAGAAAUGGGAGUCUUGGUUGGGAAAGGUGGAUUCUAUGGAAAUGUUUUCAGAAUUACUCCUCCUCUCUGUUUUACCAAAGAAGAUGCAGGUACAUGUUCUUUUUCUUAUUCCAAUUACCAAAGCAAUACAGAUGCAGGCACAUGUUCUUUUUCUUAUUCCAAUUACCAAAGCAAUACAGAUAUUUCCAACGUUUCCCAUUUGGUAAAUUCUGUGGGUGCAGAUUUCUUUGUCGAUGUGAUGGAUUACACAAUGUCAAAGAUGUGAAGCUUCCAUAAUGUAGAUAAUGAUGUUUUAUUAAUCAUCUGCAAAUCAAUGAAACUUGUUCUGUAUAAUUUCAUGUCAGUUGCGAGUGUAGCUUAUGAAAAUAUCAGUAAUAGGUUUUCUUCCUGAAUGAGUUGUUGCUGCCUUAAUGAAGCGAUGAGUCAACAGCUCGUUGUCUCUUGCUCAAACCUGUCUCUGGGUCAUAAAAUUCUUCAACUUCUGAAACAUUUUUGCUUGUAGACAAUAAAUGUUUGUUCCCUAUGAAUCAAUAAUUUGCAGAUCUUAUGAAUUUAUGUUACGAUGGUUUUCUUCCAUGGCAUUACAGAUUUACUUGACUGAAUCAUUUGCUUGUUUAUAAUACAAGCUAGUUUUCAGCAGGAAAAUUUGCAUAGAAAAAGGCUUUCCUCAAAUGAUUAUUUAAAUAGUUAUUCAGUUUUAAUGUGAUCACAUGCGAUAAUAAAGAAUGACUAAAAUACUAAAAACUUGGAAAUAGAAAUUGUAAAAUACAUACAAAAUCUAGUAAAUAUAUUACAUUACUUUUGAUAGUAAUAAUACACAAGCAAAUAUUCUUGUCUGCUAUUUUAACACUAGAACUCUAAUAUUUCUAGGUUUAAUGACAAAAUUAAUAAUACUAAUCAUCUAUCUUUAUAUAUAAGAAAAAGAGGAGGACCAGCACUUUCACAGAGAAAAAAAAUAAUAAAAAAAACAAGAUAAUUUAUGCAAUACUAUUUGAUAACUAAUGGCUUGGAGGGGUAAACCUAAAAAAAAUUACAGCGAAAGGGUAAAUAGUAAUACUGUUUGUUUAAACCCCUCAUCCAUCCCCAAUGUGUUUCCUCCCUGCACCUUUUCAUACUCAACUUUGAUUUAUUCUAUUGAAGUUAUUUACAAAAAUUAAAAUUUUAUUAAUGCACAAAUCAUUUUUCCAAUAGUAAAAAAGAAACUGCUUAUUCAAAUAGAUCAUGUCGAAUUCAUUACUAGAGAAAUUAACUUUUCUGAGAGAAAUGAAAGAAAAUUUGGCUAAUCAUAUACAACAUUCUAAUUAGUCUGAGAGAAGUUUUAGAAUCAAGAAAGUUUUUACCAAUUUUGUGGAAGUUAUUAAAAAUUGAAAGAAAGAAUUGUUUUAUUACAGAUCUGACUAUAUGGAUAAUACAGUGGAAAUUCAUUUAAUCGCACUACAUUACGACUUACUUAUCAUGUUUAACCUAAGAUUCAUCAUCCAGCUUCAGAUGCAUUAUAUAGAUUAUAGUAAUGGGUGAAAAGAAGAUUUCUUCUUUCAGAAGCAUGCAAAUGAUCAAGAAUAUCAUAUAGAUUUGUUUUUAUUAGAAUAAAUUACGUUUGGAGAUUCAUAUUAGUGAUUAAAUUAAUAAGAAUUUAUGAUAUGAAAAUUCAAGCUAAUAAGAGCUUUAUGAUAAUUAAGUUUGAUAUGUAGCUCCUUAAUUAAGGUUAUGCAUGAAUUUAAAUCCUUAACCCUACUCAUCUCUAGAAUCAAAGAAUUUGAAACAUAAUUUAUUUUAUCAAAGCAUUAUUGUUACAAAAACCCUAAUCUAUCUUAACAAUUACAUUUAGAAAUCAUACAUAUACAUACAUGCAUGAAUUCAAAUAAGUUAAAAAGAUUAAAUGAUUCAUUAUACAUUAUUGCAGCACAGCCAACAGUGAAGGAAAAAGAAAAAAACAAAUAGCAAAAAUAAUUAAUUAUCUAAAAAAAAAAAAAAAAAAAAAAAGCGAUAUGACUACCGAUCAUGUCGAGCAGCCAUGGGCGACAUGGGAGAGUAGCUGUACCUGGUAAAAACAGCAGUAGAAGAAGAUCGGCGAAUGCGAAAAGUAGCUGAGGAAAAUCGAAUAGCAGACAUUAAAAUCGAUAAUACAUCUACUAAUAAAUAGUCAAGUUCAUAAAACAUGCUUAUGCUUUUCCUUAGAAUCACAUUUAUCAACAUCGAAACUGCAUCUGCAAAUCCACCCAUGUUCUUCUAUCUCUUUCCUUCUUGUUAUUCCUCUGCUGCUGGUUUUGCUGUUUUUGGGAGGCAAAAAUGUCAAACUCAAUACCCAUCGGUCAUCAUGUUAUUAAUUGAUUGCAGCGACCAGUCUAAUCGCUAAUAAUAAUGCUGGUCAAACUGGUAGUGACUGAAAUACCCUUCUAUUCCAAUUUAACAUUACUUCUAAUUCUACAAGGAAUAAUUUUCUUUUGGC
rnacentral:lncRNA from 1 species